UGAGGAACAUGACCUUCGGCGGGGGAUAGCCGGCCCAACGGCCGGGUAAUACCGCGUACGACCACAUGGGGACAUCCCUGAGUGGUGAAAGCAGCAAUGCGCCGAUGGAGUGCCUCGCGGCCUAUCAGCUAGUUGGUGGGGUAACGGCUCACCAAGGCAACGACGGGUAGCUGGUCUGAGAGGAUGGCCAGCCACAUUGGGACUGAGGCACGGCCCAGCUCCUAGGGAGG
rnacentral:rRNA from 1 species